rnacentral:rRNA from 1 species
AUGGGGCCUUCUCGCACCAGAUCCCGUCGGCUCGUGGUCGCCUGCGCAGCCUCCGGCGGUGGGCCGCCGGCGGAGAAGCCGCCCCAGGGACCCUCCCUGCCGCCGCUGUCGGAAAUACGUUGGGGGCAGCUGCUGGCGCCGUCCCCGGACAACGCUGCGGCCGUGGCGCUGACGGCCGCGCUGGUCUGGGCCGGCGCAGCUCUGCUGCUGCAGCUGGUACUCAUCUCCGCCUCCAUCUUCGCCGCCGCCCUCAAGUACUCCUUCGUGGCCGCGCUCCUGCUCUUCGUCCUCAUCGCGCUCCUGUGA